rnacentral:rRNA from 1 species
UACGUAGGGGGCAAGCGUUGUCCGGAAUCAUUGGGCGUAAAGCGCGUGUAGGCGGUUCGGUAAGUCUGCUGUGAAAGUCCAGGGCUCAACCCUGGGAUGCCGGUGGAUACUGUCGAACUAGAGUACGGAAGAGGCGAGUGGAAUUCCCGGUGUAGCGGUGAAAUGCGCAGAUAUCGGGAGGAACACCAGUGGCGAAGGCGACUACCUGGCCCAUUCUUGACGCUGAGGCGCGAAAGCUAGGGGAGCGAACAGG